UGGGGAAUAUUGCACAAUGGGCGCAAGCCUGAUGCAGCCAUGCCGCGUGUGUGAAGAAGGCCUUCGGGUUGUAAAGCACUUUCAGUCGUGAGGAAGGUAGUGUAGUUAAUAGCUGCAUUAUUUGACGUUAGCGACAGAAGAAGCACCGGCUAACUCCGUGCCAGCAGCCGCGGUAAUACGGAGGGUGCGAGCGUUAAUCGGAAUUACUGGGCGUAAAGCGCAUGCAGGUGGUUUGUUAAGUCAGGUGUGAAAGCCCGGGGCUCAACCUCGGAAUAGCAUUUGAAACUGGCAGACUAGAGUACUGUAGAGGGGGGUAGAAUUUCAGGUGUAGCGGUGAAAUGCGUAGAGAUCUGAAGGAAUACCGGUGGCGAAGGCGGCCCCCUGGACAGAUACUGACACUCAGAUGCGAAAGCGUGGGGAGCAA
rnacentral:rRNA from 1 species